rnacentral:rRNA from 1 species
CCUACGGGAGGCAGCAGUGGGGAAUAUUGCACAAUGGGCGAAACCCUGAUGCAGCCACGCCGCGUGAAUGAAGAAGGAUUUCGGGAUGUAAAGCUCUAUCAGCAGGGAAGAAGAUGACGGUACCUGUGUAAUUAGCACUGGCUAACUACGGGCCAGCAGCCGCGUUAAUACGGAGGGGGCAAGCGUUAUCCGGAUUUACUGGGUGUAGAGUGAGUGUAGACGGUGUGAAAAGUCUGAUGUGAAAGCGCGGGGCUUAGCCCCGGGACUGCAUGGGAAACUGCCGGCCGGGAGUGCUGGUGAGGAGAGCGGAAUGCGUGGUGUAGCGGGGAAAUGCGUAGAGAUCAGGAGGAACACCGGUGGCGAAGGCGGGUGGCUGGAGAGCAACUGACGCUGAGGCUCGAAAGCGUGGGGAGCAAACAGGAUGAGAUACCCCUGUAGUC